rnacentral:rRNA from 1 species
UACGUAGGGGGCAAGCGUUGUCCGGAAUCAUUGGGCGUAAAGAGCGUGUAGGCGGCCCGAUAAGUCCGCUGUGAAAUCUCGAGGCUCAACUUCGAGCUGUCGGUGGAAACUGUCUGGCUAGAGUCCGGAAGAGGAGAAUGGAAUUCCUGGUGUAGCGGUGAAAUGCGUAGAUAUCAGUUGGAACGCCAAUGGUGAAAGCAGCUCGCUGGGGGUGUUCUGACACUGAGACGCGAAAGCCAGGGGAGCAAACGGG